rnacentral:rRNA from 1 species
UACGAGGGGUGCAAGCGUUGCUCGGAAUUAUUGGGCGUAAAGGGUUGGUAGGUGGUCUUGUUUGUCUAAGGUGAAAUCCCAUGGCUUAACUGUGGAAGUGCCUUAGAAACGGCAAGACUAGAGUCCUAGAGGGGUUUGUGGAAUUCCCGGUGUAGCGGUGAAAUGCGUAGAGAUCGGGAGGAACACCAGCGGCGAAGGCGGCAUCCUGGACCGGCAUUGACGCUGAGGAGCGAAAGCCAGGGGAGCAAACGGG